UGCAGUCGAGCGAGAAAGGGAACUUCGGUUCCUGAGUACAGCGGCGAACGGGUGAGUAAGACGUGGGCGAUCUACCCCUAGGGUGGGAAUAACCCGGGGAAACCCGGGCUAAUACCGGAUAAGACCACAGGAGGCAACUCCAGGGGUCAAAGGGAGCUUCGGCCCCCCCCAAGGGAUGAGCCCGCGGCCUAUCAGCUUGUUGGUGGGGUAAAGGCCCACCAAGGCGAAGACGGGUAGCUGGUCUGAGAGGAUGACCAGUCACACGGGGACUGAGACACGGCCCCGACUCCUACGGGAGGCAGCAGUGGGGAAUACUGGACAAUGGGGGAAACCCUGAUCCAGCGACGCCGCGUGGGUGAUGAAGGCUUUCGAGUCGUAAAGCCCUGUCAGGAGGAAAGAACGAUCCUAUAGCGAAUACCUAUAGGAAGUGACGGUACCUCCAGAGGAAGCACCGGCCAACUCCGUGCCAGCAGCCGCGGUAAGACGGAGGGUGCGAGCGUUGCUCGGAAUCACUGGGCGUAAAGGGUGCGUAGGCGGUCCUUCAAGUCUGACGUGAAAGCCCAGGGCUCACCCCUGGAAGUGCGCCAGAAACUGAUGGACUUGAGUACCGGAGGGGAGAGUGGAAUUCCCGGUGUAGCGGUGAAAUGCGUAGAUAUCGGGAGGAAUACCGGUGGCGAAAGCGACUCUCUGGACGGUUACUGACGCUGAGGCACGAAAGCGUGGGGAGCAAACAGGAUUAGAUACCCUGGUAGUCCACGCCGUAAACGAUGGGCACUAGGUGUCGGGGGUAUCCACUCCCUCGGUGCCGCCGCUAACGCAUUAAGUGCCCCGCCUGGGAACUACGGUCGCAAGAUUAAAACUCAA
rnacentral:rRNA from 1 species